rnacentral:piRNA from 1 species
AGGUCUUCAUGGAGUCUGC